rnacentral:rRNA from 1 species
AGCAGUCGCCACGGUAAUACGGAGGGUGCAAGCGUUAAUCGGAAUUACUGGGCGUAAAGCGCACGCAGGCGGUCUGUCAAGUCAGAUGUGAAAUCCCCGGGCUUAACCUGGGAACUGCAUUUGAAACUGGCAGGCUAGAGUCUUGUAGAGGGGGGUAGAAUUCCAGGUGUAGCGGUGAAAUGCGUAGAGAUCUGGAGGAAUACCGGUGGCGAAGGCGGCCCCCUGGACAAAGACUGACGCUCAGGUGCGAAAGCGUGGGGAGCAAACAGGAUUAGAUACCCGAGUAGUCCCUGUCUCUUAUAC